rnacentral:lncRNA from 1 species
CACCCACCCACCACUGCAGCUUGCACACACACUGCGUCGGGCACUGGCCUGCAUCAGCUCAGUUGAGAGGACGUCAGACCCAAAUCCAGAAGUUCUUCAGUUUCUGCCAAAGUGUGAGGGAGACCAACAUCUGCUCCCCUUCUCCAUUUCUCAGAAAAAGGUGCUGUCCCACAGGACUCCCCUGGAAAUGGCUGGAGGCUUUUCUUUUCUUUUCUUUCCUUUUUUUUUUUUUUUUUUUUUUUUUUGGUGAGACAGAGUCUCACUCUGUCACCCAGGCUGGAGUGCUAUGGCAUGAUCUCAGCUCACUGCAACCUCCACCUCCCGGGUUGAAGUGAUUCUCCUGCCUUGGCCUCCCGAGUAGCUGGGAUUACAGGCACGUGCCACCAUGCCCAGCUAAUUUUUGUAUUUUCGCUAGAAAUGGGGUUUCACCGUGUUAGCCAGGCUGGUCUCAAACUCCCGACCUCAGGUGAUCCACCUUCCUCGGCCUCCCAAAGUGCGGGGAUUACAGGCGUGAGCCACCACCCCCAGCCUGGUGCCUUCUACUGGUGGUCUUAUUCCCCAGCACAGCGCCUGUUGCAUGAAGGGAUGAAUUAUAGCCCCUGGGACAAGGAGGAGACUAGAGAAAUGAGAAAUGUCAGUGUUCUCUCAGCAUCUGGGAUGAUAGGGAAAUGAAGGUAGCACAGGGGUUUUUUGCUGCUUCUAGGAAUGGCAGGCUUUUCUUUCAAGAAAACCAAACUGCUUUUCCUAAGGGAGGUAGGAUGUGGGUAAGCACUUUGCCCUCUUGUCCUCACCCUGUGACACCAGGAAACAGAUCUGUCUUGACGUUGGGAACUGUCAUGGGCAUGGAAAACCCACGUUUGGUUCCUUUUUUGUUGGCAAAAGGGCUUGAUAGGGGAUUGGCAAGGGAAAGAGCCCAGCGCUGACCUCUCCUUCUUUUUUUUUUUUUUUUUUUUUGAGACAGAGUUUCGCUCUUGUUGCCCAGGCUGGAGUUCAGUGGCGCAAUCUCAGCUCACCACAACCUCCACCUCCCGGGUUCAAGCGAUUCUCCUGCCUCAGCCUCCCGAGUAGCUGGGAUUACACGCCCGGCUAAUUUUGUAUUUUUAGUAGAGAGGGAGUUUCUACUAAAACCCAGAGGACGUCAGACCCAAAUCCAGAAGUUCUUCAGUUUCUGCCAAAGUGUGAGGGAAAUCAACAUCUGCUCCCCUUCUCCAUUUCUCAGAAAAAGGUGCUGUCCCACAGGAGUCCCCUAGAAAUGGCUGGAGGCUUUUCUUUUCUUUUUUUUUUUUUUUUCUGUUUCUUUUUUUUGUGAGACAGAGUCUUGCUCUGUCCUCACCUUGGGUGAGGACAAGAGGGCAAAGUGCUUACCCACAACCUACCUCCCUUAGGAAAAGCAGUUUGGUUUUCUUGAAAGAAAAGGCUGCCAUUCCUAGAAGAAGCAAAACCCCCUGUGCUACCUUCAUUUCCCUAUCAUCCCAGAUGCUGAGAGAACACUGACGCUUCUUAUUUCUCUAGUCUCCUUCUUGUCCCAGGGGCUAGAAUUUAUCCCUUCAUGCAUCCUGGUGAGCCACUGCGCCCAGCCUGACCUCUCCUUUAGAAGAGAGUGGUAACUAGAUGAGGGAGGGAAAGUUGGGAAAGACCUAGCUCUGUUCGUGCCAGGCCAGCAACUGCAGAGAGGGGUUUUGGGGUGAGAAGGCUGUCCUUGAUGACGAAGGGAUGCCUUGACACCUGUUUUGAUGGGGUGGGGGGUUCUCCGCAACCCCUAUUUUGCCUCUAAAUUUUUUAAGAAGGAUACUGGGUGUUCACCAGUGUGUUUUUAUUCUUUUUUAAAUGGAAUUCAUUAAUUUGACCACAGGGGAAGGGUUGAUGCUGUGUACAAGUAUAUCUUGCACAGAGGAAGAAAGAACUAAAAGGUUUUAAAGUGGUUUUAAAGGGGCACAAUUCCAAACUCAAACUGGAAUUGAGCUGUGUGCAACUUUGGCACAAUGAGCACUGCUGCUCAGCUGUGAAAGGAGUUUUUGAAAUGUGAAAUAGGAAAAGAUAACUGAGAAAAAAGACUGUUGAUCCUAAGGAGACUGUUUUCUCGGAUUUUUAAUCUUUCUUUGCCUUCACUGGUUUGGAACCGC